rnacentral:rRNA from 1 species
UACAGAGGUCCCAAGCGUUGUUCGGAUUCACUGGGCGUAAAGGGUGCGUAGGUGGUGGGGUAAGUCUGGUGUGAAAUCUCCGAGCUCAACUCGGAAAUGGCAUUGGAAACUACCUUGCUCGAGGGUUGGAGGGGGGACUGGAAUACUUGGUGUAGCAGUGAAAUGCGUAGAUAUCAAGUGGAACACCAGUGGCGAAGGCGAGUCCCUGGACAACUCCUGACACUGAGGCACGAAAGCUAGGGGAGCAAACAGG